rnacentral:rRNA from 1 species
GGGUUGUGAGGUUAAGCGACUAAGCGUACACGGUGGAUGCCCUGGCAGUCAGAGGCGAUGAAGGACGUGCUAAUCUGCGAUAAGCGUCGGUAAGGUGAUAUGAACCGUUAUAACCGGCGAUUUCCGAAUGGGGAAACCCAGUGUGUUUCGACACACUAUCAUUAACUGAAUCCAUAGGUUAAUGAGGCGAACCGGGGGAACUGAAACAUCUAAGUACCCCGAGGAAAAGAAAUCAACCGAGAUUCCCCCAGUAGCGGCGAGCGAACGGGGAGCAGCCCAGAGCCUGAAUCAGUGUGUGUGUUAGUGGAAGCGUCUGGAAAGGCGCGCGAUACAGGGUGACAGCCCCGUACACAAAAAUGCACAUGCUGUGAGCUCGAUGAGUAGGGCGGGACACGUGGUAUCCUGUCUGAAUAUGGGGGGACCAUCCUCCAAGGCUAAAUACUCCUGACUGACCGAUAGUGAACCAGUACCGUGAGGGAAAGGCGAAAAGAACCCCGGCGAGGGGAGUGAAAAAGAACCUGAAACCGUGUACGUACAAGCAGUGGGAGCACAGAGCAAUCUGUGUGACUGCGUACCUUUUGUAUAAUGGGUCAGCGACUUAUAUUCUGUAGCAAGGUUAACCGAAUAGGGGAGCCGAAGGGAAACCGAGUCUUAACUGGGCGUUAAGUUGCAGGGUAUAGACCCGAAACCCGGUGAUCUAGCCAUGGGCAGGUUGAAGGUUGGGUAACACUAACUGGAGGACCGAACCGACUAAUGUUGAAAAAUUAGCGGAUGACUUGUGGCUGGGGGUGAAAGGCCAAUCAAACCGGGAGAUAGCUGGUUCUCCCCGAAAGCUAUUUAGGUAGCGCCUCGUGAAUUCAUCUCCGGGGGUAGAGCACUGUUUCGGCAAGGGGGUCAUCCCGACUUACCAACCCGAUGCAAACUGCGAAUACCGGAGAAUGUUAUCACGGGAGACACACGGCGGGUGCUAACGUCCGUCGUGAAGAGGGAAACAACCCAGACCGCCAGCUAAGGUCCCAAAGUCAUGGUUAAGUGGGAAACGAUGUGGGAAGGCCCAGACAGCCAGGAUGUUGGCUUAGAAGCAGCCAUCAUUUAAAGAAAGCGUAAUAGCUCACUGGUCGAGUCGGCCUGCGCGGAAGAUGUAACGGGGCUAAACCAUGCACCGAAGCUGCGGCAGCGACGCUUAUGCGUUGUUGGGUAGGGGAGCGUUCUGUAAGCCUGUGAAGGUGUGCUGUGAGGCAUGCUGGAGGUAUCAGAAGUGCGAAUGCUGACAUAAGUAACGAUAAAGCGGGUGAAAAGCCCGCUCGCCGGAAGACCAAGGGUUCCUGUCCAACGUUAAUCGGGGCAGGGUGAGUCGACCCCUAAGGCGAGGCCGAAAGGCGUAGUCGAUGGGAAACAGGUUAAUAUUCCUGUACUUGGUGUUACUGCGAAGGGGGGACGGAGAAGGCUAUGUUGGCCGGGCGACGGUUGUCCCGGUUUAAGCGUGUAGGCUGGUUUUCCAGGCAAAUCCGGAAAAUCAAGGCUGAGGCGUGAUGACGAGGCACUACGGUGCUGAAGCAACAAAUGCCCUGCUUCCAGGAAAAGCCUCUAAGCAUCAGGUAACAUCAAAUCGUACCCCAAACCGACACAGGUGGUCAGGUAGAGAAUACCAAGGCGCUUGAGAGAACUCGGGUGAAGGAACUAGGCAAAAUGGUGCCGUAACUUCGGGAGAAGGCACGCUGAUAUGUAGGUGAAGUCCCUCGCGGAUGGAGCUGAAAUCAGUCGAAGAUACCAGCUGGCUGCAACUGUUUAUUAAAAACACAGCACUGUGCAAACACGAAAGUGGACGUAUACGGUGUGACGCCUGCCCGGUGCCGGAAGGUUAAUUGAUGGGGUUAGCGGUAACGCGAAGCUCUUGAUCGAAGCCCCGGUAAACGGCGGCCGUAACUAUAACGGUCCUAAGGUAGCGAAAUUCCUUGUCGGGUAAGUUCCGACCUGCACGAAUGGCGUAAUGAUGGCCAGGCUGUCUCCACCCGAGACUCAGUGAAAUUGAACUCGCUGUGAAGAUGCAGUGUACCCGCGGCAAGACGGAAAGACCCCGUGAACCUUUACUAUAGCUUGACACUGAACAUUGAGCCUUGAUGUGUAGGAUAGGUGGGAGGCUUUGAAGUGUGGACGCCAGUCUGCAUGGAGCCGGCCUUGAAAUACCACCCUUUAAUGUUUGAUGUUCUAACGUUGGCCCCUGAUCGGGGUUGCGGACAGUGUCUGGUGGGUAGUUUGACUGGGGCGGUCUCCUCCUAAAGAGUAACGGAGGAGCACGAAGGUUGGCUAAUCCUGGUCGGACAUCAGGAGGUUAGUGCAAUGGCAUAAGCCAGCUUGACUGCGAGCGUGACGGCGCGAGCAGGUGCGAAAGCAGGUCAUAGUGAUCCGGUGGUUCUGAAUGGAAGGGCCAUCGCUCAACGGAUAAAAGGUACUCCGGGGAUAACAGGCUGAUACCGCCCAAGAGUUCAUAUCGACGGCGGUGUUUGGCACCUCGAUGUCGGCUCAUCACAUCCUGGGGCUGAAGUAGGUCCCAAGGGUAUGGCUGUUCGCCAUUUAAAGUGGUACGCGAGCUGGGUUUAGAACGUCGUGAGACAGUUCGGUCCCUAUCUGCCGUGGGCGCUGGAGAACUGAGGGGGGCUGCUCCUAGUACGAGAGGACCGGAGUGGACGCAUCACUGGUGUUCGGGUUGUCAUGCCAAUGGCACUGCCCGGUAGCUAAAUGCGGAAGAGAUAAGUGCUGAAAGCAUCUAAGCACGAAACUUGCCCCGAGAUGAGUUCUCCCUGACUCCUUGAGAGUCCUGAAGGAACGUUGAAGACGACGACGUUGAUAGGCCGGGUGUGUAAGCGCAGCGAUGCGUUGAGCUAACCGGUACUAAUGAACCGUGAGGCUUAACCUUACAACGCCGA